GACGAACGCUGGCGGCGUGCCUAACACAUGCAAGUCGAACGGAGAUAUGAUUUCGGUUAUAUCUUAGUGGCGAACGGGUGAGUAACGCGUGAGCAACCUGACUCUUAGAGGGGGAUAACACUCGGAAACGAGUGCUAAUACCGCAUAAGACCACGACAUGGCAUCAUGACGAGGUCAAAGGAGAAAUCCGCUGAGAGAGGGGCUCGCGUCCCAUUAGAUAGAUGGCGGGGUAACGGCCCACCAUGUCAACGAUGGGUAGCCGAGCUGAGAGGCUGAUCGGCCACACUGGAACUGAGACACGGUCCAGACUCCUACGGGAGGCAGCAGUGGGGAAUAUUGGGCAAUGGGCGCAAGCCUGACCCAGCAACGCCGCGUGAGGGAAGAAGGCUUUCGGGUUGUAAACCUCUGUCCUUGGUGACGAAAAAAAUGACGGUAGCCAAGGAGGAAGCCCCGGCUAACUACGUGCCAGCCGCCGCAGUAAUAC
rnacentral:rRNA from 1 species